UACGGGGGGAGCAAGCGUUGUUCGGAUUUACUGGGCGUAAAGGGCGCGUAGGCGGCCAGCACAAGUCAGUUGUGAAAUCUCCGAGCUUAACUCGGAACGGUCAACUGAUACUGUGCGGCUAGAGUGCAGAAGGGGCAACUGGAAUUCUUGGUGUAGCGGUGAAAUGCGUAGAUAUCAAGAGGAACACCUGCGGCGAAGGCGGGUUGCUGGGCAACUACUGACGCUGAGGAGCGAAAGCGUGGGGAGCGAACAGG
rnacentral:rRNA from 1 species